rnacentral:rRNA from 1 species
GUGCCAGCAGCUGCGGUAAUACGAAGGGUGCAAGCGUUACUCGGAAUUACUGGGCGUAAAGCGUGCGUAGGCGGUUUGUUAAGUCAGAUGUGAAAGCCCCGGGCUCAACCUGGGAAUGGCAUUUGAUACUGGCGAGCUAGAGUACGGUAGAGGGUGGUGGAAUUCCCGGUGUAGCGGUGAAAUGCGUAGAGAUCGGGAGGAACAUCUGUGGCGAAGGCGGCCACCUGGACCAGUACUGACGCUCAUGCACGAAAGCGUGGGGAGCAAACAGGAUUAGAUACCCUGGUAGUCCACGCCGUANACGAUGAUCACUCGUUGUUGGCGAUACACAGUCNGCGACCAAGGGAAACCGAUNAGUGAUCCACCUGGGAAGUACGAUCGCAAGGUUGAAACUCANAUGAAUUGACGG